GUGCCAGCAGCCGCGGUAAUACGUAGGGUGCGAGCGUUGUCCGGAAUUACUGGGCGUAAAGAGCUCGUAGGUGGUUUGUCGCGUUGUUCGUGAAAUCUCACGGCUUAACUGUGAGCGUGCGGGCGAUACGGGCAGACUAGAGUACUGCAGGGGAGACUGGAAUUCCUGGUGUAGCGGUGGAAUGCGCAGAUAUCAGGAGGAACACCGGUGGCGAAGGCGGGUCUCUGGGCAGUAACUGACGCUGAGGAGCGAAAGCGUGGGGAGCGAACAGGAUUAGAUACCCUGGUAGUCCACGCCGUAAACGGUGGGUACUAGGUGUGGGUUUCCUUCCUUGGGAUCCGUGCCGUAGCUAACGCAUUAAGUACCCCGCCUGGGGAGUACGGCCGCAAGGCUAAAACUCAAAGGAAUUGACGGGGGCCCGCACAAGCGGCGGAGCAUGUGGAUUAAUUCGAUGCAACGCGAAGAACCUUACCUGGGUUUGACAUGACAGGACGCCGGCAGAGAU
rnacentral:rRNA from 1 species